rnacentral:rRNA from 1 species
CACGUAGGGGGCGAGCGUUAUCCGGAUUCAUUGGGCGUAAAGCGCGCGUAGGCGGCCCGGGUAGUCGGCGGUCAAAUCCGGGGGCCCAGCCCCCGGCCGCCCCCGAUACUCCCGGGCUCGAGUCUCGCAGGGGACGGCGGAACUCCCGGUGUAGCGGUGGAAUGCGCAGAUAUCGGGAGGAACACCGGUGGCGAAGGCGGCCGUCUGGGCGAGCACUGACGCUGAGGCGCGAGAGCCGGGGGAGC